rnacentral:tRNA from 2 species
GCGGGUGUGGCGGAAUGGCAGACGCACCAGAUUUAGGUUCUGGCGGGAGACCGUGGGGGUUCAAGUCCCUUCACCCGCACCU